rnacentral:lncRNA from 10 species
GCGGGCCUCGGCCAGGCCUGAGAUGCCGGGAGGGUUUGACCCUGGGGCUGCAUGGACAGCUUAGCGCUCGGCCGCUGGCGACAGCGGAGGGCGGAGGAUCUGCAGGUUCCGGGGGACGUGACAUGUUUUGAGCGCCUGCUGUGUCUCAAGCCCUGUCCUAGGCACUGGAGAUGAGAUGAAGAAACGAUGAGUAGAGGCCUUGCUUACGUUUAUCCUGCAACUCAUGAUGAGGCUUACUCUGCAACUCCAGUGCUCGGCUUUUUACACAACAGAGUCUCUGUUGCCCAGGCUGGAGUACAGUCGCACGAUCUUGGCUCACUGCAACCUCUGCCUCUCAGGUUCGAGUGAUUCUUCUGCCUCAGCCUCCCAAGUUGCUGGGAUUACAGAAACGGGUAUGCAGGAGAUUAGAAGCCAGUGGGCAUGAGCGUGGCUGCCACCAGGUGAAUGCCUGUGCCCUGGCGUCCUGGGGCCCAGAGGACCGGGAGCUUCCAUCAAGAGGCUGCCUCCCAGCACCAAGGCCAGAGAGUGGCCAGGGGAGGCUAAGUACAGGGAUUUCUCAGAAUGGUGGAAGGAGCUCAGCCCAGCCUUGCCCAAGAUGUAUUGCAGGGGAAUCUAUGGAGUUUUGCUCUCGUUGCCCACGCUGGAGUGCAAUGGCAUGAUCUCAGCUCACUGCAACCUCCGCUUCCCAGGUUCAAGCGAUUCUCCUGCCUCAGCCACCCAAGUAGUUGGGAUUACAGGUGUGUGCCACCAUGCCUGGCGACUUUUGUAUUUUCAGUAGAGAUGGGGUUUCACCUUGUUGAUCAGGCUGGUCUCAAACUCCUGACCUCAAGUGAUCCACCCACCUCGGCCUCCCAAAGUGCUGGGAUUACAGGCGAGAGCCACCGUGCCCGGCCAUGACCUUCUUUAGUUCUUUGACCAUAUUUAAAAUGGCUGAGGUGAAGUCUCUGGUAUACCCCUCCUUGAACAGAGCAGGGAAGGAUGCGUCAGGAAUAAGUCACCUCAGUGAAUAGCUGUUUUUAAAAAAGAAAUCAUUGUGUUUUUCAAGUUCUGUGGUUGGUGAUGACGAAAUGAAUUAAACAGCAUUUCCCUGCAGUUCCCCUGUCUCUUCCCUAAGAGACGCCUGCUGCCUCCUGGGUCUGCGCACCCCACGGCACCUCCAAGUGAGCCUCCCAGGCUUCCACUGACUCUGCCCCUUCAGUGCACAGCCCAGAGCCGUGAUUUGCCAGCUGGGCUCCUGCGUUCAGAGUCUCCCAACAGAACAGGUUCUUGUCCAGAGAAGUUCAGGAAAUGCUACAUACUUUCCCCUGCCUUUUAGAGACUUGAUGUCCAUUAGACUGUGAAAGACCUCGAGAAUUGCAUGAAGAAACUGGUUUCCAAAAUGUCCUUUUGUAAAGGGAUACCUGCUACACAUGUGAUUCUGGGAAUAUUCUGGGAAGCGCAGGCCUGUUGAGUAAAUGCAGCACCUGUAUUCACCAUGGCAUCCAGGGCCCUUCAAAUCUCAGUGUUGCUUGACCUCCCAGACAGCUGCUCCCAUCCCUGCCAUGUGCGCCACAAGCCCCUGCUCCAGCCGCCACAGCUUCUCCGAUCCUGGAACAGUCUGACCUUGUACUGUGCUUACUGCUUGAGGUAUACCUUCCCACCUCCAAAGAUUCUCUUGCUCCUUCGUGGCCCACCCGAGAUUCCUGUCUUGUGUGAAGCCUUCUUCAGGCCCCUCACCAGGGACAUUUUAGCCAUACCAAGAAUCAUUAGAAGAUGCAAGCUGGAAAAAAGAAGGUCCCAGUUUUGGUUUUGAACCCUUCAUGUUGCAGCAAAUGUGAAUCUCCUACAGAUGGGUUUGGGGACUUACCUGUUCAAAUAGCAGCCCGGUGUCCUCUGUGGGUGGGGGGAGGUUUGUCUGUCCUUUCAUUCUAGUAAAUCCACCAUCCUCUGCACGAGAGCCAGGAGAAUCCACAUCACUUCAAAAGAGCCCCCAAAUCCUUACUACGUACUACAGCCUCCUUUCGAAUGUUCCUGGUUGAGAGGGAGAUCAAUUGCAUUAUUUACAAGUCAAAAAAUUUUGUAUCAAACUUCCUAUGAGCUUGGGCACUCAUGGCCUAUGGAGGCCCACCCAGACGCAGCCCCGCCAUCAUGCUUUUUCGUUGUUUUGUGGAUGUACCCAGGGCUAUUUACACACUCUUUCAUUAAAAGGCUUAUUUUUAUAUUUAAAAUGUUCU